UUGGACGGCUACGAUGAACCUCGCAAUCAUCGGAACACGCCGCGCCCCGCCAAGGGGCCAAAUCCAAGUCUGUACUCCCGCCCCCAAGGAGACCUCAAAGUUCUUCCCGCGCGGCCAUACCAAAUUCCCCUUCCACCGCCGGCGCCGCGUCCCGCCCCACCACCUCUUCCCCUUGCGCUGCCGCUGUCCCGACCACCGCACCCAUACCAUCCUCGACCGUUUCCUCGGCGGUCUCAGCGUCCUGCCGUGGCAGAUCUGGCCUCUCCUGUAGCGGCAUUCCGUCGAGCACGUAGCGCGCGGCUGCGGAAGGGCGUGUGGGACGAGGAGGAGGAUGUACGGGAGGCGCGCAUCGCAGCUUCUGAGGGAGAUUGACUCCUCCGAGGCAGGCCAGCUCGCGUCGUUCAACAGCGAUGUGUUUGAUCAGGUCAUUAGAGAGUGCAGUGAGCACAAUUCACAAUUUCAAUCAUUGAUCAGGAAAAUGGUGGAGCAAAACUUAGACAUCGAGACAACUAGAAACGAGGACCACUAUGGUGCAGCUAUCCACCAUCUUUCCCUGCUCCGUAACAAAAGAUGCCUCAUGGCUUACAUGUACAACCGAGCAGAAGUUAUUCAAAGUUUUAGGUGGAAAGUUGGUCCUGUUCUUCCUCAUGACAUACAAGAAAAGCUCCACUUCUCAGAGAAAGAGUACUUCAAGAACCACUCUGCAGCCAUUAAGUCAUACAUAUCGGAGAUGGAUAUAGAUUUAACAGUGGACAUGGUACCUCCCAAGGAUCCUUACAUUCAGGUUCGGGUGCUGGAGGACAUUGGUGAAGUAUCUCUUGGCGACCAUUCUGUAUCAUUGACCAAAAACUCGCUUCAUUUCCUAAGGCGCACAGACGCUGAACAAUUUAUAUCACAGGGUCUUAUGGAAGAAUUUCUGGAGUAGGGAUCACAUACGAUGUACGAUAGUUCUGCUGCGUGAUGGAAUAAGCACCCUUGCAAUGCUUGCAGAGAGAAAAUGUGCAGCAAUGAAAGAACAUAUGUCAUCAUCUUGGAUGCGGAGUUCUUUCAGAGUUCAGAUUCUGACUUAUUCUAGUCAGAGGCCACAACACAGGCUCGUUCCACCUUUGUAUCACAUCACAAGUGACAUUUCCAUCUUCACCAGGAAGCAAGACUAGUGCAGUACAUGCAGGAAAGUUUCUGCUUGCUGGAUUUAUGUAAAGGUGUACUGAACGUCAUUUAGUUAAGGUUGGUAUCUACUUUUAAUCACCACAAGUUUCUUAAGAUGCUUUUAUUACUGGGAAACACGCAAAUCGGCAAUUCAGCAUGGCCAUCUUUGCACUAACUGAAAUUUAGGUAAUUUUAGCUUGAAGAUUGCUAAAUUACCCGAGGUAAAAACCAUAGGACAUCGGUGAUGUAUGUAUCUUGCUUGUAGUAUCCACAAACUUUCAAAUUUGAAUUGCAUCAUUGCAUGACAGUUAUUGACGAUGCAGUUGUUUGAGAAUGCA